CAUCGUGAACUUUUUUCUUUUUAAAAAACAUUUUUAUAUGAUUUUAAAUUUGCAGAAAGCUUGCAAGAAGAGUGCCGAGAACUCCCCACCUGUUCUCCUUCUCGGGCUCCUCCUCCACCUCCUCCCUCCUUCACAGUUUUUCUUUCUGAGCCUGAGUAGGCUGCUGGAUCAUACAUUAGGAUCUGACCCUCCGCCAGCCCCGGCUCUGUUUCCAAGAGGCCACCUGCUGCGUGUCAACGUGGCCAGCGGCCCCCAAGGUUGCUGUUGAUCAAUGUCGGCUGCAGGCGGGUCCUGGUGGCCAAGGCCUGGUCUGUGUCCUGGAAAAGGGGGACUGCAGGAGACAGGUGGGGGUCUCAGCUGCCCAAGCAGCGGCAGACGCAGGCUGGACAUCACUUAUUUAACCUGGAAAAGCAAGCCCCUUGGUGUGGCAGAGCUUGGUCGCUCUCCUGGAAAGACGGAAAAUGCUGACAAAGCCACCAGCCGGGAAAGAACAGCCGGGCCACCAGGACACCGCGUUCUCUUUGUCACUUAGGAUUGCUAUUUACUAUGAAGAUUUUUAUACUCUUUUGUGUAGUCUUAAAAAGGAAAAAAAUAAGAAAAAUAAACUUUAGUAUUCAG